UGGGGAAUAUUGGACAAUGGACCAAGAGUCUGAUCCAGCAAUUCUGUGUGCACGAUGACGUUUUUCGGAAUGUAAAGUGCUUUCAGUUGGGAAGAAAAAAAUGACGGUACCAACAGAAGAAGUGACGGCUAAAUACGUGCCAGCAGCCGCGGUAAUACGUAUGUCACGAGCGUUAUCCGGAUUUAUUGGGCGUAAAGCGCGUCUAGGUGGUUAUGUAAGUCUGAUGUGAAAAUGCAGGGCUCAACUCUGUAUUGCGUUGGAAACUGUGUAACUAGAGUACUGGAGAGGUAAGCGGAACUACAAGUGUAGAGGUGAAAUUCGUAGAUAUUUGUAGGAAUGCCGAUGGGGAAGCCAGCUUACUGGACAGAUACUGACGCUGAAGCGCGAAAGCGUGGGUAGCAAACAGGAUUAGAUACCCUGGUAGUCCACGCCGUAACGAUGAUUACUAGGUGUUGGGGGUCGAACCUCAGCGCCCAAGCAAACGCGAUAAGUAAUCCGCCUGGGGAGUACGUACGCAAGUAU
rnacentral:rRNA from 1 species